UACGAAGGGGGCUAGCGUUGCUCGGAGUCACUGGGCGUAAAGCGCACGUAGGCGGAUUGCUAAGUCAGGGGUGAAAUCCUGGAGCUCAACUCCAGAACUGCCUUUGAUACUGGCGAUCUUGAGUCCGGGAGAGGUGAGUGGAACUGCGAGUGUAGAGGUGAAAUUCGUAGAUAUCGGAAGGAACGCCGGUGGCGAAAGCGGCGUGCUGGACCUCUUCUGACGCUGAGGCGCGAAAGCCAGGGGAGCGAACGGG
rnacentral:rRNA from 1 species